CGGAGGAGGAAGAGGAGGAGCAGGAGCAAGACCAGGAGGAGCAAGAAGUAAGAGGGGGGAUGAAAACGGAGGAGAAGGAGGAAGCUCGGGGGCCCACCGCUCACUGUACCGCCCCCGGGAGCAUCGUCUCCUUCCCCGCAGCGUUCUGCAGGCAUGGGGCUGUGGACGGAGACCAGAGAGAGCAGAUCCCUGUGGCAGUACCUUAAGAAAAAGGCCAUUUGUAGUGGCUCCACAGCACACUUAGUCAACAGGGAGGAAAAGCCAUGGAGAUCCCCCACAAGGAGGGCCUGCAAACCCAGCCUGUGGUGUUCUGAGGAGGAAAGACCCACCCUGAGUUGGGAAGGCAGCUGACCUGGUGGUUGACCAGAUGCUUCAUGAUGGGGACAAAUCCUACAAGGGCUUCUUGGAAUGUGGGAAGAGCUUCAGCAACAGCUCCAACUUCUUCAUCCACUAUUGGGUGCACGUGGCCCUAUGAGUGUGAGGAAUUGAGUGGGAAGAGCUUCACUCAGAGCUCCAGCCUGGGCUGCCCCAAGAAGAUCCACACAGGGAACAGCCCUGGAAGUGUUUGGAAUGUGGGAAGAGCUUUAUCCAGAGCUUCAGCCUGAUGUGUCAACAGAAGAUCCACACUGAGGAAUGGCCCUACUCCCCCCGUACUUGCAAUGCAGAAAGAGAUUCAGCCUCCUCUUCAUCUGAUCUACCAGCAGUGUCCAUGCCAGGGAACGGCCCUACAUAUGCUUGGAAUGCAGGGAGAGCUUCAGGUGAGGCACCUGCCUGGUCUGCCACCAGAGCAGCCACACUGGGGAGCAGCCCUACAUGUGCAGGGAGUGUGUAAAGAGCUUUAGUGACUGCUCCAACCUGACCUGCCACCCGAACAUCCACACCAGGAGGAGGCUCUGUGAGUGUCCCCAGGGUGGGAGGAGCUGCUGCAGCUCUGCCUUGACCCAACACCAAGAGUCCCCCAGGUAAGGGAAGCCCUGUGAGCGCCCUGCCUGCAGGGAGAGCUUUGUUCACUGCUCCAAGUUCACCCAUUAGAGAACCCACAUUGUGUUAUCUACGGUGACCAUGGUGGGACUUGAAUCAACCUGGUGAGUCAAGCUGGUCACAGACAUGGUAAUCGAGCACUGGCAGAGACCAAGAUUUUGGAGACAAUUUUGUGGGAACCCCUCCAAAAAAAGCUCUUUCACCCACCCAACCCAAUCUGACCCAACCCAAACCCACGGAUACUCAAACAAUGCUGACAUGUAAAUUCUUUAAUUUUGGCCUUGAUUUUCUUGUGAUCUAUCCUUUAAAAACACCCAAAAUUGGGUAAAAAUAAAGAACCUUGUCAGA